GAUGAACGCUGGCGGCGUGCUUAACACAUGCAAGUCGAGCGAGAAGUUUUGAAAAGAUUCUUCGGAUGAAAUUUAAAAUGGAAAGCGGCGGACGGGUGAGUAACGCGUAGGCAACCUGCCCCAUACAAAGGGAUAGCAUUUGGAAACGAAUAUUAAUACCUUAUGAAACUUAACUAGUGCAUGCUAGGUAGGUCAAAGAUUUAUCGGUAUGGGAUGGGCCUGCGUCUGAUUAGCGAGUUGGUGAGGUAACGGCUCACCAAGGCGACGAUCAGUAGCCGACCUGAGAGGGUGAACGGCCACAUUGGAACUGAGACACGGUCCAAACUCCUACGGGAGGCAGCAGUGGGGAAUAUUGCACAAUGGGGGAAACCCUGAUGCAGCAACGCCGCGUGAACGAUGAAGGCCUUUGGGUCGUAAAGUUCUGUUCUAGGUGAUGAAAACUGACAGUAACCUAGGAGAAAGCCCCGGCUAACUCCGUG
rnacentral:rRNA from 1 species